rnacentral:rRNA from 1 species
AGAAUCAACGCUGGCGGCGUGCCUAACACAUGCAAGUCGAACGUGAAAGGGGCUUCGGCCCUGAGUAAAGUGGCAAACGGGUGAGUAACGCGUGGGUGAUCUACCUCUGGGUGGGGGAUAACACUCCGAAAGGAGUGCUAAUACCGCAUGACAUCCUGUUUUUGGAUGAAUGGAGAUCAAAGCCGGGAUCGCAAGACCUGGCGCCUGGAGAGGACGCCCGCGUCCGAUUAGCUAGUUGGUGGGGUAACGCCUACCAAGGCGACGAUCGGUA